rnacentral:rRNA from 1 species
GACGAACGCUGGCGGCGUGCUUAACACAUGCCAGUCGAACGGAAAGGCCCUGCUUUUGUGGGGUGCUCGAGUGGCGAACGGGUGAGUAACACGUGAGUAACCUGCCCUUGACUUUGGGAUAACUUCAGGAAACUGGGGCUAAUACCGGAUAGGAGCUCCAGCUGCAUGGUGGGGGUUGGAAAGUUUCGGCGGUUGGGGAUGGACUCGCGGCUUAUCAGCUUGUUGGUGGGGUAGUGGCUUACCAAGGCUUUGACGGGUAGCCGGCCUGAGAGGGUGACCGGCCACAUUGGGACUGAGAUACGGACCAGACUCCUACGGGAGGCAGCAGUGGGGAAUAUUGCACAAUGGGCGGAAGCCUGAUGCAGCGACGCCGCGUGCGGGAUGACGGCCUUCGGGUUGUAAACCGCUUUCGCCUGUGACGAAGCGUGAGUGACGGUAAUGGGUAAAGAAGCACCGGCUAACUAC